GACGAACGCUGGCGGCGUGCUUAACACAUGCAAGUCGAACGGUGAAAGCGGAGCUUGCUCCGCUGGAUCAGUGGCGAACGGGUGAGUAACACGUGGGCAACCUGCCCCUCACUUCGGGAUAACUCCGGGAAACCGGGGCUAAUACCGGAUAUGACCUCCUUGGGCAUCCUUGGAGGUGGAAAGUUUUUCGGUGAGGGAUGGGCCCGCGGCCUAUCAGCUUGUUGGUGAGGUAGUGGCUCACCAAGGCGACGACGGGUAGCCGGCCUGAGAGGGCGACCGGCCACACUGGGACUGAGACACGGCCCAGACUCCUACGGGAGGCAGCAGUGGGGAAUAUUGCGCAAUGGGCGAAAGCCUGACGCAGCAACGCCGCGUGCGGGAUGACGGCCUUCGGGAUGUAAACCGCUUUCAGCAGGGAAGAAGCCGCAAGGUGACGGUACCUGCAGAAGAAGCACCGGCUAACUACGUGCCAGCCGCCGCCGUAA
rnacentral:rRNA from 1 species